rnacentral:rRNA from 1 species
GUCCACGCCGUAAACGAUGGACACUAGUUGUUGGAAUUAUUCAGUGACUAAGCGAAAGUGAUAAGUGUCCCACCUGGGGAGUACGAUCGCAAGAUUGAAACUCAAAGGAAUUGACGGGGGCCCGCACAAGCGGUGGAGCAUGUGGUUUAAUUCGAUGAUACGCGAGGAACCUUACCAGGGCUUAAAUGUAGUGGGACAGGUCUAGAGAUAGAUCCUUCUUCGGACUCAUUACAAGGUGCUGCAUGGUU